CACAUAUUAACUGUGUGUACAAGCAGCUGAACUGCAAGGUAGACCUCAUAAAGCAACAAGUACAAGAAUGUGUGUGUGUGUGUGUGUGUGUGUGUGUGUGUCUCGUUAAUGACUGCAUCCUAAACAGCUGUGAGAUCAAAGGCAAAUCACUGACCUACUGUUUGAAUGAGAAGCAGCUGAACUGCAGAGGAUUUAGAGGCUCUAAACUUCUUCACAUAGCGUGAUUUCCUUAAGUCCCAGAUUGAAAAUAAGAACAUCGUACGAAUCCUCCGUCCUUCAUGAACACAAUGAUGUGUUUUUCAUGUCUGUACUUCGAAAAAUGAGGCCACAACAGCGAGUUAAAAAAGUCUGAGCCUGAGCGAUGAUCCAGAUUUUCUUGGAGAAAAAUAACAUGACGGUCAAUGGGAGAGAUUUCCGCUUUCCUUGGACAGUUGGUCACCUGCUGGCCAAGGGGUACGAUUUAAUGAUUUGAAACCUCUUUUGUGAGAAGCAGGACACAUAUACCUCCAUUUUGAUGUAUUAUUUAUGGCUCUGGAGUGAGAUUUGUGGGCGUGGGAGCGAUAUAUUCGAGCGAGGUUCUGUCGAAAAAAGGGGAGCUGUCCACUCUAGCGAUGACAUCAUCACUCUAGCCUCUCCAAUACACACCCAUUAUAAAACCUGAAAUUUGCUGAAAACCAGGAGUUGCUUAAAGCUAAAUUGUGGAAAAACUGUAGGAGAUAUCAAAAAUGUGUAUACAAGUUUAAUAGUCGACAAGUGAAUGAACAUUUUAAAGCAAAAAUGAGGUCUCUAGGUGAAAGUAUGCUGAAGUUUUAAGGUUUAGAAGGUGGAAGAAGAAAAGGAAGAAUUGGAAGAUUUCCCCAUUGACUUCAAUGUUAAAAUUUUUGCACAAAAAGUAAAAAAAAACAAAAAGUAUAAAGGGUAGAAAGGUAAAAAGUACGAGCCCUCAUGUCCUGAAGGAGUGGAAUAGUUUAAAGUUUGAACGGUUUAAAUAGCACAAAGCAGGAAGGAGUUAGAAGUGGACGAAAAUUGGCGGAAGAAUAAUAAUAACUAGAAAAAUUGCAUUUCCUUGCAGAAAAUGUGUGGAAAUGCUGAGUGCUGAAAGCUGAAAAAGCAAUGCUAAACUGCUAAUAAAACAUGGAGAAAGGUAUAAAUGUUAAAGCUGUUGAAGGGGUGAAAAAGAAAUAUAAGUUGGAUAAUGGAUUAAUUGGUUGAAGGACAAAUAGUAUGAAUAUGCUCUAUAAAAGGAAAUUUGAUUCAUGCUGAAAGAGGCUAGAAAAAGGUCUAAAAUUGCACAAAGUUUGAAUGAAGAAGGAAACUGCCUUUAAAGGCAGGAAGGUGAGAAGUGGCAUAAGUUUAAGUUGUAGUACUAGAAGUAGUAUGAUAAGAAGUAAAGUAGUGAUACUUGUAGUCAUGUCAGCAGUAGAAGUAGUUUGAGAAUAAAAGAAGUAUAAGUCAAAGUAGUAAAGAAAGUAACAAUAGUAGCAGUAGCAGCAGUAGAGAAAGUAGAAAUAGGAGCAAUAGCAGUUGAAGUAGAGGGGAAAGUACUAGUUUAAUUGACAUUAGCAGUAGUUGUCGUACUUGAGGUAGGAUUUUGUUUGAAGGAUGGAGUAAUGCAUAAAUAUUAAAACUAAUUUAAAACAGGGAAAAUUUAAAUAAUGAAAAAUCCUCAAGUAUCAAAUGGUUUUUAAGUAUUAGAAAGGUUUGUAUCAGUUUGAAUGAGUUUAAAUUAGUUUGAAAAAUUAAAUGAUAAAUCAUCACUGAGUGACUUAUAAAAGUGAAAAUUUAAAUGAAUAUAAAUCAUGAAUACACCCCAUAAUGUCCUUAAUGAGCAUAAAUUUUAAAGCCCUGAAUGGUUUCUGUAGGUCAAAGGUCAUGUGAGGAGAUAGGGGCUGAAGUUUUUUCAAGCGCUCUAGGAAAGGGUUUUAAGUGUCAUCCCAAGUGCUAUGUGUACUGAGCCUGGCUUCAUGUGUCUCAUAUGGCCAUCAGAAGCAGCUUUCCAGUCAGCUGUGUGUCUCCAGAUGGACUAAUUUGUUGCCAUGGGGACCUUGGAUGCAUAACUAUAGCAGGAGAAAAAAUUGAAGCUAAGGAAACAGGGCUCCAAGUAGGCCUUGACGCUCAUCCUAUGUAUAUAUUAAUGAUAAGGAGCUUGUGAGAACACAAGACUCUGCUGAACACACUAAUACAAUUUAUUAUCACAAUCCUCAAAACACCCCAUAAUAUCUUCAAUGAGCUGAAUUUUUGAAGCCCAGAAUGGUUUCUGUAGCUCAAAGUUUGUGGGUGGAGAUAGGUGGUGAAGCAGACACAUAUUAGCUGUGUGUACAAGCAGCUGAACUGCAAGGUGGACCUCAAAAAGCAACAAGUACAAGAAUGUGUGUGCGUGUGUGUGUGUGUGUGUGUGUGUGUGUGUGUGUGUGUGUGUGUGUGUGUCUCGUUAAUGACUGCAUCCUAAACAGCUGUGAGAUCAAAGGCAAAUCACUAACCUACUGUUUGACUGAGAGGUGCUGAACUGCAGUGAAUUUCAGCCUGUGAACUUCUUCACAUAGCGUGAUUUCCUUAAGUCCCAGAAUGAAAAUAAGAACAUCGUACGAAUCCUCCGUCCUUCAUGAACACAAUGAUGUGUUUUUCAU